AUGCAUCUAUUACUAGAUGACAAGAAAGAGCUAAUAAAUGCGCGGAGGCGGGCAACGUAUCUUAAGAACAAGGAAAAUGCUGACAUUAACAAGGAACAGAUGAAAGCUCCGUUGGUAGAUGGUUAUCGAAGAAAAUAUGAUGACGCCGCCGGCAAGCAUCUCCAUCAAAAUAUGCCUGCCGUUGACAUGUCGGGUAUGCAAAAUGUUCCACGGAGCGCUCUCGGUGAUAUCACUAAUGGGGUACAAGCUCACCCUAUGCUCCUUGCCGACAAAAAUAGCCAGAUCAAGGCUCAAGGGCGAGCUACCGUGAAGCACAAAGAUGAUAACCUUCCUGCCCUUACAAUAUCAGCCGACCCAAAUAGGUCCAGCUAUACGUCAUUGUCACAAGAUGAGGCGGUAUUGCCUCAUACCAAUACAAUCAGUACAGCUGUCAUUCAUGAUAACCAACUACCUAGGAAGCAGCGUGAUAAUGCAGACGAAAUCGAUGGGUUCCGAGACUGCAUCACUGGCGAUGAGAUGACACCAUCCGACUUUAUGGAUGAGGAGUACUACAUGUUUCGCGACGAAGGAUACGAUAAUGACACCUUGGAGGAUGAAGAGGAAGCGAUCAUGUCGUCUGCUAUACCUAGCGAGGUUGAUCCAUUAGACUUUGUCUACACAAACAUCCCAGACACGACUCACAUCCUGAAGCUCGACGCAAACUGCAAACACUGCAAGGAAAAAAAAUUGUGUCCGAGACUGACGGCUUCUGCUGUCGCAAUGGCCAGAUCAAACUUAAACAACCUGAGCCAAUCCCAGAGCUGA
rnacentral:rRNA from 1 species